CUAUGUACCUUAAAUAUAGCUGUGAAGACCAUACUCCACAGUAAGCUAUGUCACUCAUCAUAGCUAACUACUAUUUUGUGGCCUACAUU